AUUCUCUAUGCCAUUAGAAAGUUGACAACUUAAAAUCAUGAGCUAGCAGUUCCCCCAAAGCCAGCAUGGAGCUCCUGCCUCAAGGGGCCAUAAAACCUCAGGAAACUGCUGCGUCAGGACCCAGCCCUCAGUAUGCAGGGAGUGGGGUGGAGAGAUGGCCUCUCCAGGAGGCCGUUGGGAUCCGGAACACCACUGUCUGGAUCCACGAGAAGUCGGAGCCUGGACAGAGAGAAAGGAUGUUGCUGCCUGUUGGGUUUGGCCAUUAGCUGUUUGCAGAUUGAAAGCCCCAGUCUCCAGCCCAAGAAGCCAGUUUUCCACAAUCAUGUGGAUAGAGGUGAAAACAGUGGGUUGAAAAUCACACACUCUUAGCUGACGCCUGGGAUUUGGGCAUCUGUGGGAUUUCUUACCUGUGAUGCCUGGAACCCUCGCCCCUCCUCACGGACCCCCUCACCCCCACUGCCCUCCUCCCCUGGGCUGCCGCGCCUUUUUAGAAUCUGGCUAGAAAACCUGGUGCUAAAAUAUUGCUCAAUUUUAAUUAUACUUCCAAGCCCCUUGCUGUCAGCUGCCCUUCUGAAAUUGUUUUAAUUGAAGUUCCAUGAAUCCUGGGGAGUUCAGACGGAGUUCAUCUCCAAGCCCAUCCUGAUUUCAUUAAAGAUUUGAUCUUUCUUUUUUUUCACCAAUAAAACAUUUAUUAUCGUUA